rnacentral:lncRNA from 10 species
GGUGAGUUCGCAGCCGGAACGUUGCAGGCACUUGUUUCCUCAGUGGAUGCCUUUCGGCGCGCCGCCGCCCGGCGCCGCGGGACUGGGAGACCGGUAUCUGAGAACAUAUUUCUUCCCUAUAGGAGUUGAGAAGAGGAGGAAGAAUAAUGGGAGGAGACAGGACCUUUUUCAACUUGACAAAUAGAUUUCUGAGAGAGCAGACACCAUCUUAUUUCUGUUGAAUUGUAUUUAGUAACUCAAAAGGCAUAUACCAAGCUGUCAGAAGCAGCUUCAUUUAAAAGAAAUAAAAUUUCUAGUCCUGCCUGAAGUUUAAGCUAGCCCAUGACUACACAAGUGCAACUGUAUUUCCCAGAAUUAAAGCAGCAGCCUUGGAUCCAGAGAUGGACGCCAAUUGAUGAAGACAGCAGAACUGACUGGCUAGUCUGGGUUCCCUGGAGCAGAGCUGUCUCUCCACCCUAGGUUAUCCACUUACUUUUGUACUGUUAUGUGAGAGAGAAAUAAACUUCUAUCUUCUUUA